AAUUAUUAUUAUUAAUUUUUGAUUAGAAGUGAAAUGUUAAACGAUUUUAAAUAUAUCUAGUUUUUUUAGAAAUGAAUUAAAUUCAGAUUUUAAAUUUAAUUUUGUUUAGAAUUAAUUAAAUAAAUAAAAAAUUUAAAAUUAAAUAUAAUUGAGAUAAAUUGAUUAUAUUUAUAUUAUAAAUUUAAUUUAAAAAAUAAAAAUUUAUAAGUAAUUAUAAAAUUAUUUUUCUUUUAAAAAAAUGUUUUAAUUUAUAAUUUUAAUUGUUAAUUAAAAUUUUAAUUAGAUUUUAAUUUUUUAUAAAAAAUUAUUUAUUAAUAUAUAAUAAAUAUUUAUAAUGAUUAUAUUAGUAAAAUUAUUUUUGUUUAAUAUUUUAAUAUAUAAAAUUAAAAAAUAUUAAUUUAAGGAAUUAGGCAAAAAAAUUUAAUUAUUAUUAAUAAAUAAUUAAAAUUAUAUUUACCUGUUUAUCAAAAACAUGGCUUAUUGAUAUUAAAUAAUAAGUCUGUUCUGCCCAUUGAAAAAAUAAAUUUAAAAGGCUGCAGUAUUUUAACUGUACAAAGGUAGCAAAAUCAAUAGUUUUUUAAUUGAAAACUGGAAUGAAAGAAUUGAUAAAAUAUAAACUGUCUCAAUUUAAGUUUAUUUUAAUUUAAAUAAAAAGUUAAAAUGCUUUUAUAUAUUUAUUAGACGAUAAGACCCUAAGAAUUUAAAAAUUUUAAUUUUAUUGAAUGAAAUUUUAUAAUAUAAAAAUUAAUAUUUUAAUAUUUUUUUAUUGGGAGGGUAAUUAAAUUUUAAAACUUUAAUUAAAUAAAAA
rnacentral:rRNA from 1 species